AUUAUUGACAUUAUUAUAAGAGGCGUAAUUCGAAUUUAUACGUUGUGUUGGGCGGAUAAAUUAAUGAUCGAGAAAUUAGUCGGUUUAAUCGGAGAAUAAUAUUAGAGAUAAUAUUACUAUAAUGGACUAUUAUUAAUUUAAGUUGAUUUAAGCAGUAGAGAAUGAUAUUGAAUAUGUUGAGUUGGUGGUUCGGACGAUUUAUUUUAUAGUCGGUAGUUAGUCAAUUUGGUGGAGAGAAAUAAUAAUAGAAUUAAUAUUAUGGAUUAUGAGAGUGUUUUAUUUAAGUGGGAUUAGACAUUGCGUUGGUGAUAGUAAUCAUGGGGUGUUAAUUAGUAAGCCCAAAUGAAGAUUAUAAUUAUAAUAAUAAUUAUAAUAAAAUAAAGGAAAUAAGAAGAAAAGUUAGGUCUCAAUAGAUGUGGAGAAAGAAGAAAAGUUGGAGAAAGAGGAGAGGUGAAGAAGAGAGCCAUGGCGGAAGAGAAAAGCUAGAGGAAGUCCAAUUUUCGCAGCAAGUUUCUGCAGUGAGACACUUUAGUAAAACGGACGUUUCUCCCAAUCCAACCGUUGGAUCGUCGCGGUUCUUGGACACAACGUUCCAGACUCGUAGAGAUUUUUGGUGCGUCUCUGCACGUUGUUAGAAAAGAUUUUCGGAGAAAAGUUGGAAGCGGUGGCAUAAGCUAUGGCAACCGGGAGAGUAGAGAAAUCUCAUAUCCAAGGUACUCAAGAAUAGCUAUGGAAGUGAAGUAACUUUAUGAAGUCUUUAGUUACUGUUAGUUCGAGUUGGUCUUGCUCUGAUACGUAGCACUCGGGGGAUGUUUAUGUGUUGUUUCUAAGUUGCUGUUAUUACUAAUUGUUGAAUAAUUAUAAAUUGAACGAUGUUUUAGUUGAAUAAAGUUGCUAACUGAUCUAUAAGUUGGAAGUUGUAAUUAUGUGGUUUUAAUAUUAAAAAGGUUGUUAUGUUCCUAUGAAUAAAUAUGUUGUGAGUUGUUCAGCCGAAUGCUAUGUAUCAUAUUAAAAGAAAUACAGGUUGCUUUGUUGUUUUAUGUUGAAAUGUGACAUCCUGUUAUAUGUUUGAAAAUUUUAGCACUCUGAUUUUUAAUAUAAAUGUCGGGUAGAAAAUGGGGUGUUACAUUAGUGGUAUCAGAGCAGGUCGGUCUGUCCGGCCAGAGUCGUCUAAUGUUGUUUAUUCCUCUGUACGCGACAAGUGUGUGAAACACUGUCAGUACUUGUUGUUUUCUGGUUGUUGCAGGUAUUAGUUUGAGGAAACUGGGGGAGAAGCGUUGCUUCUCAGAUGUGUUUUAGUUGGAAGUUGCAGAGAGGAUUGUUAUCUUGGUGUUUCGGAAACUGAAGUUCACCGAAAGAAUUGGCUCUCGAGUUAUAAAAAGUUUGGGAGCGAGGAGUUAUGUUAAGGACUGUUUGGAAAGUGAUUAAGUUGAAGAGAAUGAGUUUUUGAGUGAAAUUUCUGUAAGCAAAACGUAGGAAAAUUUCUGAAUCAUUGUGAAACUUCAAAAAUUCAUAACUGGAGUUCUGGACGUCCGAUUUGAGUCCCGUUUGAAGCGUUGGAAAGCUAACGAGAUGAAUUUUCUUAUAAAAAUAGUGGCAGCAUCUGUAACAAAUUUAUUGGUGGCAGGAUUAUGUUGGAAAGAAAUGAAAUUGUCCGUUUGAGUAGAUAUCGUGUCAAUUGUUGACGAAGGGAUAAUGAUUAAGUGUAUGAUUAUUGUAGAUCUUGGUAUGGAUUGUUAGUAAGUAAUUAUAAGAGUUGUUGCAGUUGUUAGAAGUACGAAGAGCAUAACCUCAAGAAUGAGGAGUGCUGAUGAUGAUAGCACAAGGGAAUUUUGUUCUGAUAGUAUCACAAGGCGUGUGGCAGUAUGAAGUCGUAAGACGUCGGUGUUAGCGGAUUCAGAUGGUUUUGCAAAUGUUGAACUAUGAUGCUUUUGGUGGUGUAAGUGCAAUUUCUGAAGGAACAUUUGGUAGUUGGUAAUAAUGGUUAUACUCCAUUACGAUUGUCGGAUAUUUAUUGACAAAUUAAGGACUUGAUCACUCUUAAUCUCUUGUUGAUAUUAGACGGAAUUGUAUUGGAUGUUAUAGACUUAUUUUACUAUCUCGAUGAUGUAGAAAGCGUUUAAUGUUGAGGAAAAAAAUUGAGGCUCGGGUAAAGCUUGUAAAUUAUAAGUUGAUAGAAACUCUAAUGAGAACGGUGAAUUAAGAUGGAUGAUCAGAGUUGCGCAGCUGAAGCGUGAUGUGCCAAAGUGUUGUGUUUCCUUGUAAAUAGUGCUGAUUGAAAUAGGAUUUUUUGUAAGUCAUUGGUCAAUGAUGAGUUGAGUGGUUAUCGGUCAAGUUAUGUUGUCAGAUUAGUAUUAUAAUAAUUUAGUCGUUGUUGCAGUAAUGUUGUUGUUGGUUACCGUAGGUGGCGAGUGAUAUCCUGAGAUAUCACGAAGUUGAUUAAAUUGGUUACUUUGAGGUUAUUAUGGGAGUGACCUGACAAAUGAUGAUGUGGAAUGAAGUUGAGGUAGGAGUUGGUGGAUAGAAUUUUCGAGGACGAAAAUAUUCUAAGUGGGGGAGAGUUGUAACACCCGGAAUUUAAUUAUUUAUUUAAUUAAAUUGUAUAAGGAAAUUAUUUGUUGGAAUUAGUCAAAGUUAGAAUUAUUGACAUUAUUAUAAGAGGCGUAAUUCGAAUUUAUACGUUGUGUUGGGCGGAUAAAUUAAUGAUCGAGAAAUUAGUCGGUUUAAUCGGAGAAUAAUAUUAGAGAUAAUAUUACUAUAAUGGACUAUUAUUAAUUUAAGUUGAUUUAAGCAGUAGAGAAUGAUAUUGAAUAUGUUGAGUUGGUGGUUCGGACGAUUUAUUUUAUAGUCGGUAGUUAGUCAAUUUGGUGGAGAGAAAUAAUAAUAGAAUUAAUAUUAUGGAUUAUGAGAGUGUUUUAUUUAAGUGGGAUUAGACAUUGCGUUGGUGAUAGUAAUCAUGGGGUGUUAAUUAGUAAGCCCAAAUGAAGAUUAUAAUUAUAAUAAUAAUUAUAAUAAAAUAAAGGAAAUAAGAAGAAAAGUUAGGUCUCAAUAGAUGUGGAGAAAGAAGAAAAGUUGGAGAAAGAGGAGAGGUGAAGAAGAGAGCCAUGGCGGAAGAGAAAAGCUAGAGGAAGUCCAAUUUUCGCAGCAAGUUUCUGCAGUGAGACACUUUAGUAAAACGGACGUUUCUCCCAAUCCAACCGUUGGAUCGUCGCGGUUCUUGGACACAACGUUCCAGACUCGUAGAGAUUUUUGGUGCGUCUCUGCACGUUGUUAGAAAAGAUUUUCGGAGAAAAGUUGGAAGCGGUGGCAUAAGCUAUGGCAACCGGGAGAGUAGAGAAAUCUCAUAUCCAAGGUAAGGGUGAGGUUCUAGCUCUAUAAACGGGAUUAUGAUGAAUGAUAUGUGGGGGUUAUGAUUGUAUGGAUUGUCUCUGUUUUGUGUGGUUGUUUGUAUCUUUGAGAUUGAAUUUUGUUGAUGUUGAAAUUGAUUGAUGUCUGUGAAUAAGGUUUUAAAAGUUCAAUCAAUUGUUGUGGGAAAUUAACUUAGGGUUUAUAAUUAUUAUUAUUGAGGAAUUAAGUGCAGAAAAACGGAUUAAUGUUGGUUGAGUAUAACUAUUAUAGUGCUAUGUCUAUGUGUUGGUCGAAAUUGAUUUGCAACUGAAUCGAAGGAGGAAAAUUGAGUUUUUGGGUUGAGUUAUAGGGAUUUAGUAUGAUGGGGUUUGAGAUUUGGGAUCAAAAUCAAUGUGUUAAAAUUCAUGUUUUAUGAUUCCAAUUCACUACUAUAUGUUAGGUAUGAAUGAAUAUGUGUUUGUUUUAUGAAAAAUAAUUGAAUUGGUUGGAUUUUAAUGGAAAAAUGCAUAAAACCCGUAGCUGUUCCUGAGCAAAAAUCUAGUUUUGGAGAAAACUUCAAAAAUUCAUAUCUUUUGAUCCGUAAGUCCGUUUGAGUCCCCGUUCGAAGCGCUAGAAAGCUAAUAAUGUGUAUUUUCUUAUAAAAAUAGUUACAUGUUCUGGAAAUAAAAUUUAAUUGGUGUGUGAUGAAGUUUUGUUGUUUCGGUGUAUGAUACCGGUGUUUGCGCUUUCCGGAAACUUAGAAAAUUCAUAACUUUUGACUCGGGUAUCCAUUUGACGUGCCGUUUGGACCGUUGAAAAGCUAAAAUUAUGUUCUAUCUUAUAAAAAUAUUUUCAAACACAGUAGAUGAAUUUUGUUGAAUUGAUAUACAUUUUCGUGUGUAAUGUUGUGUAAUUGUCGAACCGGGUGUACGCUAUUAAUCGUGUGCAUGUUGUAUGAACUUGUGUGAUUGAAUUGCAUGUUGUAUGAACUUGUAUGAUUGAAUUGCAUGUUGUUACUUAUGUUGUGUUGUUGUUAUUGCUAUAAGUUGUUGCUUCAUACAAUUUGUUGAUAUAAGUUGUUGUCGAUAUGUUGACUAAGUUGUAGGCCUAUGGCCAGUGUUGAAGCGACGUUGAGUACCUCUAAUGUUGGUACAGUGUUGAAUUUUUGUCGUUGUUGCAUUGUUGUUGUUGUGACGUUGUGGUUGUUGUUGCAUGCAUACAUUUGCAUUGUUUAAGUUGGCCUUGAUGGCACCACGUUGAAAAGUUGAAGGCUUAUGCCUUGGCCUUAAUGGCACCACGUUGAAGGCUUACGCCUUGUUGAAAUGCCUCGAUAACCUGGCAUAUGUUUAAGUUGGGAGUUUUACUCCAAAUGGUACCACAUGCAUUUGCACAGUUGAGUCGCAUUUGAAGUUGUUGUUGUUGUUUCGUUGUUGUUGUUAUUACGUUGUUGUUGUUGAUAUAAGUUGUCGUUAUUGUAAGUUGUUGUUGUUAUAAGUGGUUGUUGUUAUUAAGUUAUGAUGAUUUAAAUUGUGAAAUAAUUAUUAUAACUAUUGUUAUAGUUGUUGUUGCUAAUUGUUGUUACUAAUUGUUGUUAUACUUGUAACUGAAUAUUGUUAUCAUAAUUGUUGUUGGUAAAUAAUUAUUAUAACCGUUGUUACUAUUUGUUAUUAUAACUGUUGUUUGAAUAAGUAUGAAGUGGUGAUAUUGUAUGAUCUAAUCUUAAUAUAUUAUUUAUCAUACGCUUGCUUAUAUUGUUGGAUAUCUCACCCCUUCUGUAAUGAUGUUACCUAUUAUGGGUAAUUGAGCAGGUACUCAAGAAUAGCUAUGGAAGUGAAGUAACUUUAUGAAGUCUUUAGUUACUGUUAGUUCGAGUUGGUCUUGCUCUGAUACGUAGCACUCGGGGGAUGUUUAUGUGUUGUUUCUAAGUUGCUGUUAUUACUAAUUGUUGAAUAAUUAUAAAUUGAACGAUGUUUUAGUUGAAUAAAGUUGCUAACUGAUCUAUAAGUUGGAAGUUGUAAUUAUGUGGUUUUAAUAUUAAAAAGGUUGUUAUGUUCCUAUGAAUAAAUAUGUUGUGAGUUGUUCAGCCGAAUGCUAUGUAUCAUAUUAAAAGAAAUACAGGUUGCUUUGUUGUUUUAUGUUGAAAUGUGACAUCCUGUUAUAUGUUUGAAAAUUUUAGCACUCUGAUUUUUAAUAUAAAUGUCGGGUAGAAAAUGGGGUGUUACAAAGAAAGGUAUAAAAGUGGUUAAAAUUCUGUUUUUUUUUGUCAUAGGAAUGUUAGCAAUUCUGUUACAAAUCGUUUGCUAAGCUGGGAGUUAGUAUGUGUGGGAUUUUGAAUGUUAAUUCAAACUGAAUGUGUGUGGGUGUUAAUUGUUUUGAAUUGUCUAUGCUGUGAACGAAUGUGAAUGAAGGUUGAAACAAUUACAAAUUAGUGUCAAAAAUGGUCAUGGGUUAUGUUAUCUUUCAAUCUCCUGAACUGGUGCGGUUUCUUUUUAUGAUGGCUCGGUUUAGGAACUGUAUUAGGUGCUGAACAUUUUAUUUUACUCAUGACUGUAUGCUGGCUGAACUGAUUAUUUUUGUUUGUAUUUUGA